ACAACUUAAGGGGGUUCGCGGGUCUAAAUCAUUUAUAUAGGAUAUCUCUAUAUUUUUCUAUAAAUGAACUUUAUCUUAUAGUUAAUAGAAAAAUAAAAUAAAAAAGUGGGGUCACCGUUCAUUUGCGCUCACAAUCUGCCUUCGAAAGAAGCAUACAUUUUUGUAAAGGUGGUUUUUUUCUGUUGAAGUAAUAGGAGAAAUACAGGUAAUAUCGAUAUAAAAAAAGGAAUUUAUUACAGAAAUCGCUCAAAUUUUACAAUAAUUUAGUUUAAGUACAGCUUAUAUGGAAAUUAUAUUAAAAAAUAUGGGUCACCGGUGAGUUAAAAAAGAUAUUUCAAUUUUAAAGCCAAAAAAUGGCAUUUUUCCACCAAAGGGAGAUAAUUUGGAACUUUUUCAAUGAUGUAUACAUUUUAAAAGUCAUCUGGGGCCAAUACGAAUUGAUUGUUUUGAAUGAUUUUUGUACCAUAUGAUAAAGUAACAACUACAAAAGGUAACAAAUAAAAUUUGUAAUGGAAAACAAAUGUUUAAUUUUUUUCUGAAAUUUUUAUACCCUCGAG
rnacentral:lncRNA from 1 species